UACGUAGGGUGCAAGCGUAAUCGGAAUUACUGGGCGUAAAGCGUGCGCAGGCGGUGAUGUAAGACAGAUGUGAAAUCCCCGGGCUCAACCUGGGAACUGCAUUUGUGACUGCAUCGCUGGAGUACGGCAGAGGGGGAUGGAAUUCCGCGUGUAGCAGUGAAAUGCGUAGAUAUGCGGAGGAACACCGAUGGCGAAGGCAAUCCCCUGGGCCUGUACUGACGCUCCAUGCACGAAAGCGUGGGGAGCAAACAGG
rnacentral:rRNA from 1 species